rnacentral:rRNA from 1 species
UACGAAGGGGGCUAGCGUUGCUCGGAAUCACUGGGCGUAAAGCGCACGUAGGCGGACUUUUAAGUCAGGGGUGAAAUCCUGGAGCUCAACUCCAGAACUGCCUUUGAUACUGGAAGUCUUGAGUUCGAGAGAGGUGAGUGGAACUGCGAGUGUAGAGGUGAAAUUCGUAGAUAUUCGCAAGAACACCAGUGGCGAAGGCGGCGAUCUGGGAAGAUACUGACGCUCAGGUGCGAAAGCCAGGGGAGCGAACGGG